AUUGAACGCUGGCGGCAUGCCUUACACAUGCAAGUCGAACGGUAACAGGUCUUCGGAUGCUGACGAGUGGCGAACGGGUGAGUAAUACAUCGGAACGUGCCUAGUAGUGGGGGAUAACUACUCGAAAGAGUGGCUAAUACCGCAUGAGAUCUACGGAUGAAAGCAGGGGAUCGCAAGACCUUGUGCUACUAGAGCGGCCGAUGGCAGAUUAGGUAGUUGGUGGGAUAAAAGCUUACCAAGCCGACGACCUGUAGCUGGUCUGAGAGGACGAUCAGCCACACUGGGACUCAGACACGGCCCAGACUCCUACGGGAGGCAGCAGUGGGGAAUUUUGGACAAUGGGCGCAAGCCUGAUCCAGCAAUGCCGCGUGCAGGAUGAAGGCCUUCGGGUUGUAAACUGCUUUUGUACGGAACGAAAAGCCCUGGGUUAAUACCCUGGGGUCAUGACGGUACCGUAAGAAUAAGCACCGGCUAACUACGUGCCAGCCGCCGCCGUAAGAC
rnacentral:rRNA from 1 species